rnacentral:rRNA from 1 species
AUAUCGACAUGCGUCGGCAGUCGGGUGGUGGUAGGUAAAGUUUUUUCGGCCAGGGAUGUGCUCGCGGCCUAUCAGCUUGUUGGUGGGGUAAUGGCCUACCAAGGCUUCGACGGGUAGCCGGCCUGAGAGGGUGACCGGCCACACUGGGACUGAGACACGGCCCAGACUCCUACGGGAGGCAGCAGUGGGGAAUAUUGGACAAUGGGCGGAAGCCUGAUCCAGCGACGCCGCGUGAGGGAUGACGGCCUUCGGGUUGUAAACCUCUUUCAGUACCGACGAAGCGCCGAUGAUGGUGGUGACGGUAGGUACAGAAGAAGCACCGGCCAACUACGUG